rnacentral:rRNA from 1 species
GAUCAUUACUGAGUUGUUGAACAUGAGCUGUUGCUGGUCCUCANNNCAUGGGGGCAUGUGCACGCUCUGUUCACACAUCCACUCACACCUGUGCACCCUCUGUAGCUCUAUGGUCUGGGGGACGCCUGUCUCCCUCCUGUAGUUCUACGUUUUUACACAUACACCGUAGCAAAGUCUUAUGGAAUGUGUGCCGCGUUUAACGCAAUACAAUACAACUUUCAGCAACGGAUCUCUUGGCUCUCGCAUCGAUGAAGAACGCAGCGAAAUGCGAUAAGUAAUGUGAAUUGCAGAAUUCAGUGAAUCAUCNAAUCUUUGAACGCACCUUGCGCCCCUUGGCUAUUCCGAGGGGCAUGCCUGUUUGAGUAUCAUGAACACCUCAACUCUCAUGGUUUGCCGUGACGAGCUUGGACUUUGGGGGGUUUUGCUGGCCUAUGGUCGGCUCCUCUGAAAUGGAUCAGCUUGCCAGUGUUUGGUGGCGUCGCAGGUGUGAUAACUAUCUAUGCUUGUGAUCGUUUGCCGAGUAACCUUCAGAGAUGGAGGUUCGCUGGAGCUUAUAAAUGUCUCUCCUCAGCGAAGACAGCUUUUUGACCGUUCGAUCUCAAAUCAGGUAGGACUACCCGCUGAACUUAAGCAUAUCAAUAAGCGGAGGAAAAGAAACUAACAAGGAUUCCCCUAGUAACUGCGAGUGAAGCGGGAAGAGCUCAAAUUUAAAAUCUGGCGUGCCUCUGGCCGUCCGAGUUGUAGUCUGGAGAAGUGUUUUCCGUGCUGGACCGUGUAC